GAUGAACGCUGGCGGCGUGCCUAAUACAUGCAAGUCGAGCGAACAGACGAGGAGCUUGCUCCUUUGACGUUAGCGGCGGACGGGUGAGUAACACGUGGGUAACCUACCUAUAAGACUGGGAUAACUUCGGGAAACCGGAGCUAAUACCGGAUAAUAUUUCGAACCGCAUGGUUCGAUAGUGAAAGAUGGCUUUGCUAUCACUUAUAGAUGGACCUGCGCCGUAUUAGCUAGUUGGUAAGGUAACGGCUUACCAAGGCAACGAUACGUAGCCGACCUGAGAGAGGGGUCGGCGACACUGGAGGUGAGACACGGUCAAGACUACUACGGGAGGCAGCAGUAGGGAAUGUUCCGCAGUGGGCGGAAGCCUGACGGAGCAACGCCGCGUGAGUGGUGAAAGUCUUCGGAUCGUAAAACUCUGUUAUUAGGGAAAAACAAACGUGUAAGUAACUGUGCACGUCGUGACGGUACCUAAUCAGAAAGCCACGGCUAACUACGUG
rnacentral:rRNA from 1 species